rnacentral:tRNA from 1 species
UCAAACCCCAGAGAGAGGCA